rnacentral:rRNA from 1 species
UAGGGAAUCUUCCGCAAUGGACGAAAGUCUGACGGAGCAACGCCGCGUGAGUGAAGAAGGAUUUUGGUUCGUAAAACUCUGUUGUUAGGGGAGAAAAAAUGUAUAGUAACUAUAUACAAAAGAGACGGUACCUAACCAGAAAGCCACGGCUAACUACGUGCCAGCAGCCGCGGUAAUACGUAGGUGGCAAGCGUUGUCCGGAAUUAUUGGGCGUAAAGCGCGCGCAGGUGGUUUAGAAAGUCUGAUGUGAAAGCCCACGGCUCAACCGUGGAGGGUCAUUGGAAACUAAUAAACUUGAGUGCAGGAGAGAAAGGGGGAAUUCCUAGUGUAGCGGUGAAAUGCGUAGAGAUUAGGGGGAACACAGGUGGCGAAAGCGGCUUUUUGGCCUGCAACUGACACUGAGGCGCGAAAGCGUGGGGGGCAAACAGG